rnacentral:tRNA from 1 species
GGCCUCGUAGCUCAGCUGGUAGAGCAUGCGCGUACAAAGCGUAGGUGGCGUCCAUUCGUGGGUUUGAAUCCCACCGAGGCUA